AAGUUAUCGGUGAAGCUCGAACAAGCUUCGAAGUUUAAAAAUAAAGUGUUUCUCCUAUCCGAGAUAAAUCAUAUUACAUGGCGACCGUGACGUGGAGCCUGAAUCUAAAAAAUUGAAGUGAGUGAGCGUAAUAGGAGUGAGUGCCAUAACGAUCAUAGAAACAAAAAAAAAAAAAGGACAGCUACAGUCCAGCAAAAGUGAGAGAUUUAAUCGUGAGUUGGAUUAUUACUUCGGACACCAACAAAUACCGCCUUACCGCGGGACAGCAGUCACCGCCGUAGCGGAACAGUGAAACAAAAAAUAAUAAAAAAAAAAAAAAAGGACAACAUCGUAGCGGCGAA